AACGAACGCUGGCGGCAUGCCUAACACAUGCAAGUCGAACGAGACCUUCGGGUCUAGUGGCGCACGGGUGCGUAACGCGUGGGAACCUGCCCUUAGGUUCGGAAUAACUCCCCGAAAGGGGUGCUAAUACCGGAUAAUGUCUUCGGACCAAAGAUUUAUCGCCUUUGGAUGGGCCCGCGUUGGAUUAGCUAGUUGGUAGGGUAAAAGCCUACCAAGGCGACGAUCCAUAGCUGGUCUGAGAGGAUGAUCAGCCACACUGGGACUGAGACACGGCCCAGACUCCUACGGGAGGCAGCAGUGGGGAAUAUUGGACAAUGGGCGAAAGCCUGAUCCAGCAAGGCCGCGUGAGUGAUGAAGGCCUUAGGGUUGUAAAGCUCUUUUACCCGGGAUGAAAUGACAGUACCGGGAGAAUAAGCUCCGGCUAACUCCGUG
rnacentral:rRNA from 1 species